GAUGAACGCUGGCGGCGUGCCUAAUACAUGCAAGUCGAGCGAACAGACGAGGAGCUUGCUCCUCUGACGUUAGCGGCGGACGGGUGAGUAACACGUGGAUAACCUACCUAUAGGACUGGGAUAACUUCAGGAAACCGGAGCUAAUACCGGAUAAUAUAUUGAACCGCAUGGUUCAAUAGUGAAAGACGGUUUUGCUGUCACUUAUAGAUGGAUCCGCGCCGCAUUAGCUAGUUGGUAAGGUAACGGCUUACCAAGGCAACGAUGCGUAGCCGACCUGAGAGGGUGAUCGGCCACACUGGAACUGAGACACGGUCCAGACUCCUACGGGAGGCAGCAGUAGGGAAUCUUCCGCAAUGGGCGAAAGCCUGACGGAGCAACGCCGCGUGAGUGAUGAAGGUCUUCGGAUCGUAAAACUCUGUUAUUAGGGAAGAACAAAUGUGUAAGUAACUAUGCACGUCUUGACGGUACCUAAUCAGAAAGCCACGGCUAACUACGUG
rnacentral:rRNA from 1 species